GCUCAGACAGCUAGGAGGUUGGCUUAGAAGCAGCCAUCCUUUAAAGAAAGCGUAAUAGCUCACUAGUCGAGUCGGCCUGCGCGGAAGAUGUAACGGGGCUCAAACUGGUUACCGAAGCUGCGGCUGUGCACGCAAGUGCACGGGGUAGGGGAGCGUUCUGUAAGCCUGCGAAGGUGUGUCGAGAGGCAUGCUGGAGGUAUCAGAAGUGCGAAUGCUGACAUGAGUAACGACAAUGGGGGUGAAAAACCCCCACGCCGGAAGACCAAGGGUUCCUGCGCAACGCUAAUCGGCGCAGGGUGAGUCGGCCCCUAAGGCGAGACCGAAAGGUGUAGUCGAUGGGAAACGGAUUAAUAUUUCCGUACCUUGGAUAGCUGCGAUGGAGAGACGGAGAAGGCUAGGUGAGCCGGGCGACGGUUGUCCCGGUUUAAGCAUGUAGGCAGUGGGAUUAGGCAAAUCCGGUCCCACAAUGCCGAGACGCGACGACGACUGCCCUUUUAGGGCGGGAAGUCAUUGAUGCCCUGCUUCCAGGAAAAUCUUCUAAGCUUCAGGCUAUUCGAGACCGUACCCCAAACCGACACAGGUGGUCAGGUAGAGAAUACCAAGGCGCUUGAGAGAACUCGGGUAAAGGAACUAGGCAAAAUGGUGCCGUAACUUCGGGAGAAGGCACGCCGGUGGUAUGUGAC
rnacentral:rRNA from 1 species